AUUUUAUUAGUAUAAAAGUAUAUCUAACUUCCAAUUAGAAGGUUUGCCUAUCAAAUAAAAUA
rnacentral:tRNA from 1 species